GGGCCUUUAGCUCAGUGGUUAGAGCAGUCGACUCAUAAUCGAUUGGUCCGGGGUUCAAGUCCCUGAAGGCCCA
rnacentral:tRNA from 1 species